UCUGUGGGAUCUGGAUUGGGAUCUGGAUUGGGAUCUGGAACGGGAUCUGGAGUGGGAUCUGGAGUGGGAUCUGGAGCGGGAUCCAGAGUGGGAUCCAG
rnacentral:miRNA from 12 species